CCCAUGGUCUGGGCUCCCAACCAGCAUGCACAGGGCCGUGGUGCCCCUGAGGGCCGCUGAGGUCAGCGAACACCCCACCAAGGGCUCUGUCCCCUGAACGUGCCUCCCCCCACAGCACCUUGCACGGCUGAGACACCAGGAAAGGAGCCCUGGGGAUUUGGGGAAAGAGAAAUUGAAUUCCUGCCUCACAGGGUGUGGGAGAGAUCCAACCCCAAGGGCUGAAGACACAUGCAAAGGCACAGCCUUCCAGGACGGGCAGCCCAUGUGGGGAGAAGGGUGGACUCAUGCUCGACGACCUAGAACAACAGACACACCAGCAGCUUCCUGACCAAGGUACCCCGAGGACCAUGGCUGACCUUGCCGUCAAGGGCCCAGGCCAGGCCACGCCCUCCGUGGCGGGUGGCCCCCAGCUUGUGGCGUUGCUCUUGAACACUGGAAAGCACUCUGAUGGCUAAUUUUUGGAAGAUUCCUGUCUUUAUUCUUCUGGGAAGUUCCCAGGCUCCUGGCGCCCAUCAUCCCAGCACUGCAGGGUGGGCCUCCCUGCGCAAGUCCGUUUCAGUGGCCGAGCUGCUCAGCCCUCGCCGCGCCUUCCAGCACCUCGGGCAGGGCUUAAAACAAAAGCCAGGAAGCAGAAUGCGGGAUGGUGCCCUUCUGUGCUCCACACAGGCUAGAACUUCCCCCUGGGUCCCUGUCGGAGAAGGCAGCCCACCAGCCCCUCAUCUGGUUCCUCCAACCUCUGUCUCCCGUGCAGGAGGCUGUUCGCUCCCAUCUUAGAGUCGGUACCAGUCUGCCGGGCGGGCUCGUGGGGGGACAGGCAUCCGCGUCCUCCAGACUCUGCCUGCGCAUCACUGACCCCCAGCACAGCCCAGUCAGCCCCCUCCUGCAAAGAGCAUGGGGCCUCCGGCACGCGGAAGGUUCUGUCCCGACGAAGCCUUCCUUGUCAGGAUGAAAGCCUGGUUUUCCCGGCCCAGAGACCCUCUGUUUUAAAGAAAGAAGCUGUAGAAAGAAGCGCAGGGCUUCCACGAGCACGAGAGGGAGGGCCUGGCUGUGCAGCAGGGACCCCUGACAGACUCUGGCUCAAGCCUGUACUGCAUUGCCCUGCUGUGUGGAGCUGCCUGGCUGGAGUAGUCCCUCUGUUUGCAAGAUUUUAAGUAUUCUCUAUACCCAACAUGGAGGACUCGAACUCACAACCCCAAGAUCGAGAGCCACACACCGCUGAGCCAGCCAGGAGCCCCUUGGUAUUCAUUUUUUAAAACUAUUUCUCCCUAGUUUUACUGAGAUUCACUUGUUACUAUUCACUUUAAGUGUAGGAUCUGAAAGGGGCAUCUGGGUGGCUCAGUCGGUUAAGCAUCCGUCUUCAGCUCAGGUCAUGAUCUCACGAUUCGUGGG